GACGAACGCUGGCGGCGUGCUUAACACAUGCAAGUCGAACGGAAAGGCCCUGCUUUUGUGGGGUGCUCGAGUGGCGAACGGGUGAGUAACACGUGAGUAACCUGCCCUUGACUUUGGGAUAACUUCAGGAAACUGGGGCUACUACCGGAUAGGAGCUCCUGCUGCAUGGUGGGGGUUGGAAAGUUUCGGCGGUUGGGGAUGGACUCGCGGCUUAUCAGCUUGUUGGUGGGGUAGUGGCUUACCAAGGCUUUGACGGGUAGCCGGCCUGAGAGGGUGACCGGGCACAUUGGGACUGAGAGACGGCCCAGACUCCUACGGGAGGCAGCAGUGGGGAAUAUUGCACAAUGGGCGGAAGCCUGAUGCAGCAACGCCGCGUGCGGGAUGACGGCCUUCGGGUUGUAAACCGCUUUCGCCUGUGACGAAGCGUGAGUGACGGUAAUGGGUAAAGAAGCACCGGCUAACUACGUG
rnacentral:rRNA from 1 species